GAAAUGCGAUAAGUAAUGUGAAUUGCAGAAUUCAGUGAAUCAUCGAAUCUUUGAACGCACAUUGCGCCCGCCAGUAUUCUGGCGGGCAUGCCUGUUCGAGCGUCAUUUCAACCAUCAAGCCCCCGGCUUGUGUUGGGGACCUGAGGCUGCCCGCAGGCCCUGAAAAACAGUGGCGGGCUCGCUGUCACACCGAGCGUAGUAGCAUACAUUCUCGCUCAGGGCGUGCUGCGGGUUCCGGCCGUUAAACGACCUUCAUAACCCAAGGUUGACCUCGGAUCAGGUAGGAAGACCCGCUGAACUUAAGC
rnacentral:misc_RNA from 1 species